rnacentral:rRNA from 1 species
CUCCGGUUGAUCCUGCCGGACCUGACUGCUAUCGGAUUGGUACUAAGCCAUGCGAGUCGUUGUAGCAAUACAAGGCGGACGGCUCAGUAACACGUAGUCAACCUAACCUAUGGACGUGGAUAACCUCGGGAAACUGAGAAUAAACCGCGAUAGAUCAUUAUGCCUGGAAUGGCUUAUGGUUCAAACAAUUUAUUGCCGUAGGAUGGGACUGCGGCCUAUCAGCUUGUUGGUGAGGUAAUGGCCCACCAAGGCUAUAACAGGUACGGGCUCUGAGAGGAGAAGCCCGGAGAUGGGUACUGAGACACGGACCCAGGCCCUAUGGGGCGCAGCAGGCGAGAAACCUUAGCAAUGUGCGAAAGCACGACUGGGUUAAUCCGAGUGAUUUCUGUUGAAGAAAUCUUUUGUCAGUCGUAAAACCACAGACGAAUAAGGGGUGGGCAAGUCUGGUGUCAGCCGCCGCGGUAAUACCAGCACCUCGAGUGGUCAGGAGGUUUAUUGGGCCUAAAGCAUCCGUAGCCGGCUACGCAAGUCUCCGGUUAAAUCCAGCUGCUCAACAGAUGGGCUGCCGGAGAUACUACAUAGCUAGGGAGCGGGAGAGGUAGACGGUAUUCUGUGGGUAGGGGUAAAAUCCACUGAUCCAUAGAGGACCACCAGUGGCGAAGGCGGUCUACCAGAACGCGUUCGACGGUGAGGGAUGAAAGCUGGGGGAGCAAACCGGAUUAGAUACCCGGGUAGUCCCAGCUGUAAACGAUGCAAACUCGGUGAUGCAUUGGCUUAUGGCCAAUGCAGUGCCGCAGGGAAGCCGUUAAGUUUGCCGCCUGGGAAGUACGGACGCAAGUCUGAAACUUAAAGGAAUGGGCGGGGGACA